CAGUCGUACGCUUCUUUUUCCCCGGAGCUUGCUCCACCGGAAAAAGAAGAGUGGCGAACGGGUGAGUAACACGUGGGUAACCUGCCCAUCAGAAGGGGAUAACACUUGGAAACAGGUGCUAAUACCGUAUAACAAUCGAAACCGCAUGGUUUUGAUUUGAAAGGCGCUUUCGGGUGUCGCUGAUGGAUGGACCCGCGGUGCAUUAGCUAGUUGGUGAGGUAACGGCUCACCAAGGCUACGAUGCAUAGCCGACCUGAGAGGGUGAUCGGCCACAUUGGGACUGAGACACGGCCCAAACUCCUACGGGAGGCAGCAGUAGGGAAUCUUCGGCAAUGGACGAAAGUCUGACCGAGCAACGCCGCGUGAGUGAAGAAGGUUUUCGGAUCGUAAAACUCUGUUGUUAGAGAAGAACAAGGAUGAGAGUAACUGUUCAUCCCUUGACGGUAUCUAACCAGAAAGCCACGGCUAACUACGUGCCAGCAGCCGCGGUAAUACGUAGGUGGCAAGCGUUGUCCGGAUUUAUUGGGCGUAAAGCGAGCGCAGGCGGUUUCUUAAGUCUGAUGUGAAAGCCCCCGGCUCAACCGGGGAGGGUCAUUGGAAACUGGGAGACUUGAGUGCAGAAGAGGAGAGUGGAAUUCCAUGUGUAGCGGUGAAAUGCGUAGAUAUAUGGAGGAACACCAGUGGCGAAGGCGGCUCUCUGGUCUGUAACUGACGCUGAGGCUCGAAAGCGUGGGGAGCAAACAGGAUUAGAUACCCUGGUAGUCCACGCCGUAAACGAUGAGUGCUAAGUGUUGGAGGGUUUCCGCCCUUCAGUGCUGCAGCUAACGCAUUAAGCACUCCGCCUGGGGAGUACGACCGCAAGGUUGAAACUCAAAGGAAUUGACGGGGGCCCGCACAAGCGGUGGAGCAUGUGGUUUAAUUCGAAGCAACGCGAAGAACCUUACCAGGUCUUGACAUCCUUUGACCACUCUAGAGAUAGAGCUUCCCCUUCGGGGGCAAAGUGACAGGUGGUGCAUGGUUGUCGUCAGCUCGUGUCGUGAGAUGUUGGGUUAAGUCCCGCAACGAGCGCAACCCUUAUUGUUAGUUGCCAUCAUUCAGUUGGGCACUCUAGCAAGACUGCCGGUGACAAACCGGAGGAAGGUGGGGAUGACGUCAAAUCAUCAUGCCCCUUAUGACCUGGGCUACACACGUGCUACAAUGGGAAGUACAACGAGUCGCGAAGUCGCGAGGCUAAGCUAAUCUCUUAAAGCUUCUCUCAGUUCGGAUUGUAGGCUGCAACUCGCCUACAUGAAGCCGGAAUCGCUAGUAAUCGCGGAUCAGCACGCCGCGGUGAAUACGUUCCCGGGCCUUGUACACACCGCCCGUCACACCACGAGAGUU
rnacentral:rRNA from 1 species